UUGGAUUUGGGUUUCUCAAAUUUGAAACCCUUUUUUUCUUUUUGUAUAUUAUUUAUUUUAUUUUAUAUUUGGCAGAUCUCCUUUAGUGUUCAUAUUUUAAGAUUCUUAAAUUAGCACACGAUUUGACAAAUAGCUUGUAGAUGGAAAUCUGUAGAGAGAGUCAAUGGUUUUUUCCUUUUAUUUAUUUCAUGAUAUUUUUUUCUCAUAUCUACUAGAAGUUCGUUGGCAUAUGUUGUGUAUUUUACAUUCUGUUGCCUUUUAAUUAAUUAUUUAUGUGGAUUUUAAUAUAUAGAAAUGCAACCUUUUGAAUUUGAGCAAUAAUUUUGAAAAUAGAGAAAGUUUGCAUUAUUUUCUAUCUUGUAAUACAAAUAAGAAAGAAGAUGAAGAAAUAAGAUUGUCCAAGGACGAUUCGAAUAUGGUUGAGGUUGAAUCUAAUGGUUGAUGAUGAAUUGAUGAUAUUAUUAUUUUGUAUGUAUUAUUAGGACUUUUAAUUUAUUUAAAUAUUUUGAAUUGUUGUUUAGUGAAGUACUAUUAUGGAGUUUUCAUUUAUUUAUCGUUCUAUUUAAAUUGAAUCGAUUCAUGUUGAUUGUAGUAUGAUUUUAUAUUUUUAUUUUGUUUAUAAUUA
rnacentral:lncRNA from 1 species